CCCCGCGCCGACGCCGCCAAAACCCUCCCCAAAACCUCCGACAAACGCCGCCCACCUCCCAGAGAUGCCGCCCAAGCCGGCGAGGCGGGUGUUCCAGUACAUCUCCUCGCCCUGGAGGCCGCCGCCGUCCCCGCUGCCCGCGGCCCCCGCCGCCGGCGAGGCCACGGCCUCCGAGGCCGACGCCGACUCGGUCUACCAAAUCGUCACGGCCGCGCCCACGCCGUCGGCCAUGGAGUCCGCGCUCUCCGCCUCCGCCGUCCCGCUCUCGGCGCCGCUCCUCGACCUCGUCCUCCGCCGCUUCCGCUUCGCCCACGGCGAUCCACUCCGCGCGCUCUCGCUCCUCUCGCUCGCCGCCGACCGCUGCGGCGUCGCGCCCUCCCCCUACGCGCUCGACACGGCCCUCUACGUGCUCGGCCGCGCCCGCCGCUUCUCCCACAUGUGGGACCUCGUCCAGUCCAUCCACCGGCUCUGCCCCGACUCCAUCACCGCGCACACCGCCAUGGUCGUCCUCGGCCGCGUCGCCAAGAUCUGCUCCGUUCGCGAGACCGUUGCCUCCUUCCGCCGCCUCUUGCGGCUCUUCCGCGGCCGCGAGGGCACCGAGUCGGCCGACCUCUUCAACGCGCUGCUCCGCACGCUCUGCCAGGAGAAGAGCAUGUCCGACGCGCGCAACGUCUACCACGCGCACAAGCACGAGUUCCAGGUGAACCGCCAUACCUUCAACAUCCUGCUCUCUGGGUGGAAGUCUUCGGAGGAUGCCGAUGCGUUCUUCGCAGAGAUGCGAGAGCACGGCAUUGAUCCUGACUUGGUCACCUACAACUCUUUGAUUGAUUGCCACUGCAAGAACCGAGGCGUGGAGAAGGCCUAUAAGCUGCUCGAUGAAAUGCGGGGGAAUGAAAUUGCCCCCGAUGUCAUCACCUAUACGAGUUUGAUUGGCGGAUUGGGACUUGUUGGCCAGCCUGACAAGGCUAGAGACCUGCUGAAGGAGAUGCGUGAGCUCGGAUGUCACCCGGAUGUGGCGGCGUACAAUGCCACAAUACGGAACUUUGUUAUAGCGAAGAGGCUUGGUGAUGCGUUUGCGUUGACGGACGAAAUGGCAUCGAGGGGACUGAUGCCGAAUGCAACGACAUAUAACCUUUUCUUCCGGUUCUAUUACUGGGCGUAUGACAUUGGUAGCGCGUGGCUGUUGUAUGAGCGGAUGCGGUCUGAAAGAUGCUUCCCCAACACACAGUCUUGCAUGUUUAUCAUCAGGUUAUGUCAUCGGCAUGGUAAGGUGGCAGAAGCACUAGAGCUGUGGGGUGAUAUGGUCGAGAACGGGUUUGGGUCAUUCACCUUGGUGUCAGAUGUUUUGUUUGACCUGUUAUGUGACGAGGGGAAGCUGGAGGAGGCUGAGAGGUGCUUCCAUCAAAUUACUGAUUUGGGGCAGAAACCCAGCAGCGUUUCAUUUAGAAGAAUCAAGAUACUUAUGCAGCUUGCCAACCGGGAAGAAUCUAUUGCCGGGUUAACUGAGAAAAUGGCUCGGUUUGGACGGCUGCCGCCUGAGGAUUGCCAAAGAGUUCAUCACCCUGCUGAAAGCACACCCGAUGGAGAUGAUACUGAUGUAAUAAUAGCAACUUAGCAUGUUAUUCAUAUGACGGCGAACAUUAUUUGAUGAGCACAAAUUUGGUUGACCAGGGAAAUAGUUGAAUGCUUCUGAAGAGUUCAUUGUACUAUUAUCCUGUGGAGGUAUGAACAAUUCAGGAUGUUAUUGAGAGACAAUCAAUGUAUAUUGUCAGAUUAUUGUCAUUAUUAUAUAUAACUUUCCUGAAAAAAUUCAUACAGUGGGGGACGUCUAGCCUGCCUGUUGGACCACAUGAUAUUACACCACUGUCCAAUCUCUCAUAUGAAAUUGAAACUGCAUAUGGUGUACCAACGUUAUGACGAGCGUAGAAUUGGAAGUUUGGAACUACUCCCUCAAUUCCGAUUAUUUGAUGUGUUACCAAAUUUUGCAAAGACCAAGGAAAUCCUGCGAUUAGGAGAUUUGGAGGAUGUCAGCCAAAUUUGUCAUCCCGCUCUGCUGGGAGUCUCAUUGUAUAAAAUGUUUUUUAUAAUUAAUUCAAGCUCUAUCUUUGUCUGAAAUAAAAGUGUGAAAUUAGAGGGAAGGAAAGCAAACACUUUGUUGUCUCUCGAUUUAUCACUUUGGAGGUGCUCAUGAACCUGUUCUGCAACAGAAGAUGUGACCUUUUUAUUUUUUUGUGAGUGACCUGAAAAUGGAAGUAUUAACUUGCUAAUGUGAAUAGCCAGUAGCGCACUUAGGGACUGAAU